rnacentral:sRNA from 1 species
CCUAGAGAUAAAAGUCGUACGGUUCUUCUUCGGAAGGACAGUGGCAGACGUCUCAGUAACGCGUGAGUGACCUGUCCUUAAGUGGGGAAUAACUGCUCGAAAGAGUGGCUAAUACCGCAUAUGCUGGUGAGUGUAGAGGCUUACCAGUAAAGUCGCAAGGCGCUUAAGGAGGGGCUUGCGUCCGAUUAGCUAGUUGGUGGGGUAAAGGCUUACCAAGGCGAUGAUCGGUAGCUGGUCUGAGAGGAUGAUCAGCCAGACUGGGACUGAGACACGGCCCAGACUCCUACGGGAGGCAGCAGUGGGGAUGGCUCANAACGAACGCUGGCGGCCCACUCCUACGGGAGGCAGCAGUGGGACCCACUCCUACGGGAGGC